rnacentral:rRNA from 1 species
UACGAAGGGGGCUAGCGUUGUUCGGAGUUACUGGGCGUAAAGGGCGCGUAGGCGGCGCACCAAGUCAGGCGUGAAAGCCCUGGGCUCAACCCGGGAAUUGCGCUUGAGACUGGUGUGCUUGAGUACGGGAGAGGAUAGUGGAAUUCCCAGUGUAGAGGUGAAAUGCGUAGAGAUUGGAAAGAACACCGAUGGCGAAGGCACUUUACUGGGCUAUUACUAACACUGAGAGACGAAAGCUAGGGUAGCAAAUGGG